rnacentral:rRNA from 1 species
AAGUCGUAACAAGGUUUCCGUAGGUGAACCUGCGGAAGGAUCAUUGUCGAAACCUGCCCAGCAGAGCGACCCGUGAACAUGUUCAACCUCGUGGGUGUCGGGGCGUCGCUCGGUGCCUCGUGUGCCGGCCCGUCCCUAUCCCAAGCCGGGGAGCGCUCACCCGUGGGACGUUUCYCGGCAAAACAACGAACCCCGGCGCGUAAAGCGUCAAGGAAUACAAACUCUAUGUGUGCGCUCUCCCGCUGCCCGGUCAGCCGGGCGUUGGAGCGGUGCCAUGUCUUAACAAUAAACGACUCUCGGCAACGGAUAUCUCGGCUCUCGCAUCGAUGAAGAACGUAGCGAAAUGCGAUACUUGGUGUGAAUUGCAGAAUCCCGUGAACCAUCGAGUUUUUGAACGCAAGUUGCGCCCGAAGCUUCGGCUGAGGGCACGUCUGCCUGGGCGUCACGCAUCGCGUCUCCCCCAAACCCACCCCGAGUGGAGGGGAAGGAGGAUGGUCUCCCGUGGCUCACCGGUCGCGGCUGGCCUAAAAUCGGAGCCCUCGGCAUCGGGAUGCCGCGGCGAUAGGUGGUGAACAAGGCCUCGGCCGAGCAAGCAACCCGUCGCGUGUCGCGGUGCCAAGGAGAGCUCGAAGGACCCUUUGACGUUGCCUUGUUGCAACCAAACCGUUGCGACCCCAGGUCAGGCGGGGCU